ACAGGGAUUGCCCUAGUAACGGCGAGUGAAGCGGCAACAGCUCAAAUUUGAAAUCUGGCUCUUUCAGAGUCCGAGUUGUAAUUUGCAGAGGGCGCUUUGGCUUUGGCAGCGGUCCAAGUUCCUUGGAACAGGACGUCACAGAGGGUGAGAAUCCCGUACGUGGUCGCUAGCUAUUGCCGUGUAAAGCCCCUUCGACGAGUCGAGUUGUUUGGGAAUGCAGCUCUAAAUGGGAGGUAAAUUUCUUCUAAAGCUAAAUAUUGGCCAGAGACCGAUAGCGCACAAGUAGAGUGAUCGAAAGAUGAAAAGCACUUUGGAAAGAGAGUCAAACAGCACGUGAAAUUGUUGAAAGGGAAGCGCUUGCAGCCAGACUUGCUUGCAGUUGCUCAUCCGGGCUUUUGCCCGGUGCACUCUUCUGUAGGCAGGCCAGCAUCAGUUUGGGCGGUGGGAUAAAGGUCUCUGACACGUUCCUUCCUUCGGGUUGGCCAUAUAGGGGAGACGACAUACCACCAGCCUGGACUGAGGUCCGCGCAUCUGCUAGGAUGCUGGCGUAAUGGCUGUAAGCGGCCCGUCUUGAAACACGGACCAAGGAGUCUAACAUCUAUGCGAGUGUUUGGGUGUCAAGCCCGAACGCGUAAUGAAAGUGAACGGAGGUGGGAACCCGCAAGGGUGCACCAUCGACCGAUCCUGAAGUUUACGGAAGGAUUUGAGUAAGAGCAUGGCUGUUGGGACCCGAAAGAUGGUGAACUAUGCUUGAAUAGGGUGAAGCCAGAGGAAACUCUGGUGGAGGCUCGCAGCGGUUCUGACGUGCAAAUCGAUCGUCAAAUUUGGGCAUAGGGGCGAAAGACUAAUC
rnacentral:rRNA from 1 species